rnacentral:rRNA from 1 species
GUANGGGUCUAGCGUUGUCCGGAAUUAUUGGGCGUAAAGAGCUCGUAGGCGGUUCGGCAAGUCGGAUGUGAAAUCUCCACGCUUAACGUGGAGGGGCCAUUCGAAACUGCCGUGACUCGAGUCCGGUAGGGGAGUGCGGAAUUCCCGGUGUAGCGGUGAAAUGCGCAGAUAUCGGGAGGAACACCAGUGGCGAAGGCGGCACUCUGGGCCGGAACUGACGCUGAGGAGCGAAAGCGUGGGGAGCGAACAGGAUUAGAUACCCUGGUAGUCCACGCCGUAAACGUUGGGCACUAGGUGUGGGGCUCUAUCGACGGGUUCCGUGCCGUAGCUAACGCAUUAAGUGCCCCGCCUGGGGAGUACGGCCGCAAGGCUA